rnacentral:rRNA from 1 species
GACGAACGCUGGCGGCGUGCCUAAUACAUGCAAGUAGAACGCACGGUUUAUACCGUAGCUUGCUACACCAUAGACUGUGAGUUGCGAACGGGUGAGUAACGCGUAGGUAACCUGCCUGGUAGCGGGGGAUAACUAUUGGAAACGAUAGCUAAUACCGCAUAAUAUUAAUUAUUGCAUGAUAAUUAAUUGAAAGGUGCAAUUGCACCACUACCAGAUGGACCUGCGUUGUAUUAGCUAGUAGGUGAGGUAACGGCUCACCUAGGCGACGAUACAUAGCCGACCUGGGAGGGUGAUCGGCCACCAUGGGACUGAGACACGGCCCAGACUCCUACGGGAGGCAGCAGUAGGGAAUCUUCGGCAAUAGACGAAAGUCUGACCGAGCAACGCCGCGUGAGUGAAGAAGGUUUUCGGAUCGUAAAGCUCUGUUGUAAGAGAAGAACGGGUGUGAGAGUGGAAAGUUCACACUGUGACGGUAUCUUACCAGAAAGGGACGGCUAACUACGUG